AGAUUGAACGCUGGCGGCAUGCUUUACACAUGCAAGUCGAACGGUAACAGGCCGCAAGGUGCUGACGAGUGGCGAACGGGUGAGUAAUGUAUCGGAACGUGCCCAGUCGUGGGGGAUAACGCAGCGAAAGCUGCGCUAAUACCGCAUACGAUCUAUGGAUGAAAGCGGGGGACCGUAAGGCCUCGCGCGAUUGGAGCGGCCGAUAGUCAGAUUUAGGUAGUUGGUGGGUAAA
rnacentral:rRNA from 1 species